CACGUAGGGGGCGAGCGUUGUCCGGAAUCAUUGGGCGUAAAGAGCUCGUAGGCGGCUCAGUAAGUCGGGUGUGAAACCCUCAGGCUCAACCUGGGGACGCCACCCGAUACUGCUGUGGCUAGAGUCCAGUAGGGGAGUGUGGAAUUCCCGGUGUAGCGGUGAAAUGCGCAGAUAUCGGGAGGAACACCAGCGGCGAAGGCGGCUCGCUGGACAAGUAUUGACACUCAACAACGAAAGCGUGGGGAGCAAACAGG
rnacentral:rRNA from 1 species